UAGUGCCAUAGUGCCGUGUGCACUGCUCUGCUCACCUGCUUCCUGAAACGGGGCUAGAGCGUCACGAAUCACUUGGUGCCAAGGAUGAUUUCUCCAUGAUGUAGGGGACCCGGAAGCUGGCUGAGGGGUGUGAGAAAGGGAUGCUGAAAUGUCAUUGUAGAGCACCCUGGCUGCCCCGCCCCAUGGGCAUUUCAUUCCUGACAAGCUUUCUGUUGCACCCCAAAUCUUGUUGGUGACUCAGAGGGAACAACGGGAGCCACACUGAUUUCUCUGUGGUUUGUGACAGCUAACAUGAACAAAAUCGCUCUGACUCAUCCCUGGAGCACUCGGUCAAGGUCUUCUGUGUAACCUUUGAGCAUCCUGGAGUGAGAUCCCUGGCUUCAGAGGAGAACUGGCCCUUCCUUCCCAGAUCUGAAAAGGAGUGCAGUGAAGGCUAGACCUGGCAUAGCACACACCGGCCCCAGCACCUCUGGGGCGAUGGGUACUUUGGCCCCAUUUCCCCUGCAGGUUCCUGUGCCAUAAGAAUGGCCUCUGUGUGUUGGCCUCUGGCAGAUCCAUUUUGUAUUUUUAGUUCCUAAACCUUAACAUCUAAACUCCCGGCACUGUGAUUCAGCAGUCUGCUGACAAGCUUCCUGUGAAACCACCCUCCACUUUCAUGCUGCGUUCUCCCUUCUGCAGAACAAGCCGACCAGAAGACUAGGGUGUGGGCACCCAGGGCAUGGGUAGUGCCAAGAACAAGGUUGUCAGCACAGAACCUGGCUCUACAAGAGCAUGGAGGAGAGAAGUCUCAGGAACCAGAACAAAGGCCUCUGGAGGAAGAAAAGCAGGCUGCUGAGAUCCCAGCAAGGUAUACAUGGAGAGCUAAAAAUCAGAAACAGCAUACACAUACCACAUAGAACCACAUAGUAGACCUAAAAAUGCGUGAAGAAAAGAGUAAAUUGGCUGGAAAGAAACCAGAGUCAGAGAUGUGGAACGUAUCUGAGGACUGUUCUGGAGUGAAGAUGUAAAGGAAAAGGUGUGUUGUAAUGAAAGAGUGUAGCAAAAGUAGCAGCAGGAAAAAGAAUCAACUUUUGCUUCUACAGGAAGAAAUCACAAUGGAAGAAACAGAAGUUAAAAUAAAGAUUUGGAG
rnacentral:sRNA from 1 species